rnacentral:rRNA from 1 species
AUUGAACGCUGGCGGCAGGCCUAACACAUGCAAGUCGAACGAGUGGCGGACGGGUGAGUAAUGUAUGGGAAACUGCCCGAUGGAGGGGGAUAACUACUGGAAACGGUAGAUAAUACCGCAUACCCUCGGAUGUGCCCAGAUGGGAGUAGACAGUAGGGGGGUUAACGGCUCACCUAGGCGACGAGCCGUAGCUGGUCUGAGAGGAUGACCACCGACACUGGAACUGAGACAUGGUCCAGACUCCUACGGGAGGCAGCAGUGGGGAAUAGUGCACAAUGGGCUCAAGCCUGAUGCAGCCAGGCCGCGUGUAUGAAGAAGGCCUUCGGGUUGUAAAGUACUUUCAGCGAGGAGGCGUUACUCGCAGAAGAAGCACCGGCUAACUCCGUGCCAGCAGCCGCGGUAAUUC